UACGAAGGUGGCAAGCGUUACUCGGAAUUACUAGGCGUAAAGGGCAGGUAGGUGGUCUGAUAAGUCUGUUGUGGAAGCUCCCGGCUUAACUGGGAGAGGCCAACGGAAACUAUCAGACUUGAGUGUAGGAGAGGGUAUUGGAAUUCCCGGUGUAGCGGUGAAAUGCGCAGAGAUCGGGAGGAACACCAAUGGCGAAAGCAGAUACCUGGACUAUUACUGACACUAAGCUGCGAAAGCUAGGGGAGCAAACAGG
rnacentral:rRNA from 1 species